rnacentral:piRNA from 2 species
CAGACAUUUGGUGUAUGUGCUUGGCUGAG